rnacentral:misc_RNA from 1 species
UUUCUCUCUCUCUCUCUCUCCUCUCACUCGCACUCUAUUUCUCAGUCUACGUAUGUAUGCUUUUAUGUAUGUAUAAUUUAAAUUCCUGAAUGCUGAAUAUCAUGUGUCCAAUAUAAAGAAACACUUUUGUUUUCCCCCCAUAAGAAUAGAAGUAUAUCUUCUUCUAUUGGAUACUCUGAAGUGACAUCUUCAGUUCCCCUCACACAACUUGUUUGACUGACCUUUUUAUUUUCCUCCCGCUAAUCUCUUUUUUUAUCACA